UACAGGGGGUGCAAACGUUGCUCGGAAUUAUUGGGCGUAAAGCGCGCGUAGGCGGCCACUUAAGUCGGAUGUGAAAGCCCCUGGCUCAACUGGGGAAGUGCACCCGAAACUGAGCGGCUUGAAUGCAAAAGAGGGUCGCGGAAUUCCCGGUGUAGAGGUGAAAUUCGUAGAUAUCAGGAGGAACACCGGUGGCGAAGGCGGCUUUCUGGACGACAACUGACGCUGAGACGCGAAAGCGUGGGGAGCAAACAGG
rnacentral:rRNA from 1 species